UCAACCUCUGUCAGGUGGUUUCAUCCUAACCUUUAACACCUGAGAGGUGGCUGGAAACAGCUAGGUGACACCGGUACAGGUAUGGCAGACCUCAGCGCGACCUGGGAGCGUGUGCUGGAGUCCCAUCUGAAUACAGCAGAUAUUACUUCGGAAAGCAGCGACAACACAACGUGCUUCUUGCAUUAAGUGAUGAAGUUCUCCUAAUCUCCUGGAUAUCCUGAGGAACUUGGACCCGGUGUCGUUGCUGAGGUUCGGCAGCACAAGCAGCUUGUUCCGAGUUUGUUUGUGUAACUCUCUGUGGACCACACACACACAUUACCAGGAAUCAGACUGUUGGAAACUACUUCUCCACGUGCAAGUCUCUUGUGGCCUGGAUCCUGGGACACGACUGGGGCCGACUGAAGCGAAGAAACGUUUAUGAAGACACACUGGAGGGUGUGUAUCUUCUGCUGAGACGUGAGAUGCAGGAGAUGCUCAUAGAGCACGAGCGCUUCUGGCAGGUAGCCCAAGUCCAGAUGACCCGUGUCUGUACACUGGAGGAGACGACUGCAAAUUAUGUCAACUGGAAAAUGAUUGAGACGCUCCCCUACUAGAAUUCUGUCAGUCCUGCUUGAGUCUGUUCAAUUACUGUCUGUCUCAUUUUCUCAUUCUCCCAAAGGAUACAGAAUAACUAUUUGAAUUAAAUAAUUAAACAUUUAUUUUACAUGUGAGCUUAAUUUAAUUUAUAUAUUUAAAUACAAAGAAUGUUUAAUUUUUUUAAAACU